UACGUAGGGGGCAAGCGUUGUCCGGAUUUAUUGGGCGUAAAGAGCGUGUAGGCGGCCAUGUAGGUCCGUUGUGAAAACUCGAGGCUCAACCUCGAGACGCCGAUGGAAACCAUGUGGCUAGAGUCCGGAAGAGGAGAGUGGAAUUCCUGGUGUAGCGGUGAAUGCGCAGAUAUCAGGAAGAACACCCGUGGCUAAGGCGGCUCUCUAGUACGGUACUGACGCUGAGACGCGAAAGCGUGGGGAGCGAACAGG
rnacentral:rRNA from 1 species